rnacentral:tRNA from 1 species
GCCGGUGUGGCGGAACUGGCAGACGCGACGGACUCAAAAUCCGUUGAAUUAACACCUCGUGCGGGUUCGAUCCCCGCCACCGGCA